GAAAUAAUCAAAAAUAAGCUUCUAACUUAAUUUUAAAGCAAUUAAAUGUUUUUAUUUCU
rnacentral:tRNA from 1 species